CGAACUCAGCGGCAGGCGACAGGGAACUUAGUGCAGGAUAUAAUCUUGGCUGUCGUAUUGCCUAAAAAGCAUUGCAUAGCAAGGGCCGGGCAAGACCGGUGCCAGCCGCCGCGGUAACACCGGCGGCUCGAGUGGUAACCGUUAUUAUGGGUCUAAAGGGUCUGUAGCCGGCUGGAUAAGUCUCUUGGGAAAUCCGGCAGCUCAACUGUCGGGCUUCCAGGAGAUACUGUCCGGCUCGAGACCGGGAGAGGUGAGAGGUACUUCAGGGGUAGGGGUGAAAUCUUGUAAUCCUUGAAGGACCACCAGUGGCGAAGGCGUCUCACCAGAACGGAUCUGACGGCAAGGGACGAAAGCUAGGGGCACGAACCGGAUUAGAUACCCGGGUAGUCCUAGCCGUAAACGAUACUCGCUAGGUGUCGGCCACGGUGCGACCGUGGUCGGUGCCGUAGGGAAGCCGUGAAGCGAGCCACCUGGGAAGUACGGCCGCAAGGCUGAAACUUAAAGGAAUUGGCGGGGGAGCACUACAACGGGUGGAGCUUGCGGUUUAAUUGGAUUCAACGCCGGAAAUCUCACCGGGACCGACAGCGAUAUGAAGGCCAGGCUGAAGACCUUGCCGGAUUAGCUGAGAGGUGGUACAUGGCCGUCGUCAGUUCGUACUGUGAAGCAUCCUGUUAAGUCAGGCAACGAGCGAGACCCACGCCCACAGUUGCCAGCGUACUCUCCGGAGUGACGGGUACACUGUGGGGACCGCCGCCGCUAAAGCGGAGGAAGGAAUGGACAACGGUAGGUCAGUAUGCCCCGAAUAUCCCGGGCUACACGCGAGCUACAAUGGUUGGUACAAUGGGUAUCUACCCCGAAAGGGGACGGAAAUCUCCUAACGCCAAUCUUAGUUCGGAUUGAGGGCUACUCCCCGGCAUGAAGCUGAAUCCGUAUAACCCAGCAGUGUCGUAACUCCCCCCUUUUUU
rnacentral:rRNA from 1 species